GUUUAAAUUUCAUAGAUUUCUAUUUACUUAAACUAAAGUUAUUGUGCGAAAACCAAGAAUAAUGCUUAUUUGGGCCCUUUUUUGGCCCCUAAUUCCUAAACUGUUGAAACCAAAACUCCCAAAAUCAAUCCCAACCGUUCUUUUGUGGUCAUAAACCUUGUGUCAAAAUUUCAUAGAUUUCUAUUAACUUCAACUAAAGUUAUAGUGCGAAAACCAAGAAAAUGCUUAUUUGGGCCCUUUUUGGCCCCUAAUUCCUAAAAUGUUGGGACCAAAACUCCCAAAAUCAAUACCAACCUUCCUUUUGUGGUCAUAAACCUUGUGUUAAAAUUUCAUAGAUUUCCAUUCACUUUUACUAAAGUUAGAGUGCGAAAACUAAAAGUAUUCGGAUGACGACGACAACAACGACGACAACGCAGACGACGACGCCAACGUGAUAGCAAUAUACGACGUAAAAUUUUUCAAAUUUUGCGGUCGUAUAAAAAGCAGAAU
rnacentral:lncRNA from 1 species